rnacentral:rRNA from 1 species
GACGAACGCUGGCGGCGUGCCUAAUACAUGCAAGUUGAGCGCUGAAGGUUGGUACUUGUACCAACUGGAUGAGCAGCGAACGGGUGAGUAACGCGUGGGGAAUCUGCCUUUGAGCGGGGGACAACAUUUGGAAACGAAUGCUAAUACCGCAUAAAAACUUUAAACACAAGUUUUAAGUUUGAAAGAUGCAAUUGCAUCACUCAAAGAUGAUCCCGCGUUGUAUUAGCUAGUUGGUGAGGUAAAGGCUCACCAAGGCGAUGAUACAUAGCCGACCUGAGAGGGUGGUCGGCCACAGUGGGACUUAGACGCGGCCAAAACGCCUACGGGAGGAAGCAGAAGGGAAUCUUCGGCAAUGGGGGAAAAUCUGACCGAGCAACGCCGAGUGAGUGAAAGAGGUUUUCGGAUCGUAAAACUCUGUUGGUGGAGAAGAACGUUGGUGAGGGUGGAAAGCUCAUAAAGUGACGGUAACUACCCAAAAAAGGACGGCUAACUACGU